rnacentral:rRNA from 1 species
UACGGAGGGUGCGAGCGUUGUCCGGAAUCACUGGGCGUAAAGGGCGCGUAGGUGGCGCGGAAAGUCAACGGUGAAAGUUCGGGGCUCAACCCUGAAUCGGCCGUCGAUACUGCUGCGCUUGAGCACUGUAGAGGCAGAUGGAAUUCCGGGUGUAGCGGUGGAAUGCGUAGAGAUCCGGAAGAACACCGGUGGCGAAGGCGGUCUGCUGGGCAGUAGCUGACACUGAGGCGCGACAG